GGCUGAAGGACCGGGCGAGCGGCAAGCUACGGGCAGCGGCGGACGGACUCUCAGGCAGCAAGAGGUGCUGCUCCUUUCUUUACCUUGGACCUUUGCUAGCCUUGGCGGUACGGAGGUGUCCAUUUCCUUACCUACUGCGGGCGAGCGUGCAUUGGGGCUGCGGUAGAGGAGGACCACUGGGCAGGAUUCGAGGAGACAGGCAUCACACCAGCUGUUGGACCUAAGCUAGUGCUCCUCCACUGGCGUCACAUUUUCUCUUUAUGCAGAUGAGGGGUUGACUGUUUGUAAGGCCCUAGCUAACUCUAAUUUUGGGUUGUAAUAUUAUUAUCUAGUUCCCCGAAGUACUUUGAGCCGGCU
rnacentral:lncRNA from 1 species